GACGUAGGGCGCGAGCGUUGUCCGGAUUUAUUGGGCGUAAAGAGCUCGUAGGCGGCUUGUCGCGUCGUUCGUGAAAACCCGAGGCUUAACCUCGUGGCUUGCGGUGGAUACGGGCAGACUAGAGGUAGGUAGGGGAGAACGGAAUUCCCGGUGUAGCGGUGAAAUGCGCAGAUAUCGGGAGGAACACCGGUGGCGAAGGCGGUUCUCUGGGCCUUACCUGACGCUGAGGAGCGAAAGCAUGGGGAGCGAACAGG
rnacentral:rRNA from 1 species